rnacentral:misc_RNA from 1 species
GGACGCCGAAGGUGGGGCUAAUGACUGGGGUGAAGUCGUAACAAGGUAGCCGUACCGGAAGGUGCGGCUGGAUCACCUCCUAACAGGGAGACAACAAAAUGUUUAAAAUUAUUAUUUUGUCACCUUAGGUCGAUCGGUAUCUCACAUUCUUAAUUUAUUAAGGAUUUUAUUUCCUAAGUUUUUCUAGGUCACACCCAUUUUUUUCCUGGGCCAUUAGCUCAGGUGGUUAGAGCGCACCCCUGAUAAGGGUGAGGUCCCUGGUUCAAGUCCAGGAUGGCCCAUCUCUCUAUGUUGGGGGUAUAGCUCAGUUGGUAGAGCGCCUGCUUUGCAAGCAGGAUGUCAGCGGUUCGAGUCCGCUUACCUCCACUGAUUACCACCUCUUCCAUAAUUUUUAGAUAAGGAAAUUAUUUGAGUUGUGAUCAAAUUCUGAACGAUUCUAGCUUCCUAAUGAAAUCAUUAAGAUGCUGGACUCAUUGAAUUAAUUUCAUUGUUUUCAGAGAACCUUGACAACUGCAUAGAUUUUUUUUAAAGACAAUAAGCAUCUUUUAUGAUGCAGAUUUAUUAUUUGUGCGAAUGCAUUAAUAACAAUUCUAUUAAGCUGAUGCUUCAAUUUUGAAGUUAUUGGUCAAGCUACAAAGGGCUCAUGGAGGAUA